GGGAUGUGUGUGACAAUAACCAUUGGCUGCCGUUCCUCCUGACGCCUUGAAUCUCCUGGGUCUUAAAUGCUUUCUAGGUGGAGACCCGUACCAGGAGAAUCUUAUUUUUUUUAUACGGAAACAACUUGUCAACAUGGGAGAAAUUCAUAGAACCUUGCUGUGCCAAGGCCCGGUGGAAAUCAUGAGCUACAACAAAAGGAAGAAAAGAUAUCUAUCCUUAUUUAAUGAUGUUUUGGUUGUGUCUAGUAACCUG